rnacentral:sRNA from 1 species
CGUUACUGACCCUACAACAUGCCCGUCGUCAGGACACGGUACCAACCCCAUAGUCGAAGGUUCUCCUGACGU